CUGCUGAAAUGAUGAGUUUUCAUGUCUCUUCUCUGAAUUUUUAACUGGAGAACGAUUUUAGCUCUGACUACAGCAG